CGGACCGUCAAUCAAGGGGAGACGUCAGGCGGAUCGGUAGCAGGCUCGGUGGAUCUGGGUAGUUAAGGGCGGGCUGGCGGCCGAGAGAGUGUCGCCGUCGCGGCUGAGGGGGGGAAAAAAAAUAAAAUAAAUUUUUUUAUUUUUUUCAAAAACAAAAAGAGACACGGCGCCCGGGAGCUGAAAGUGUGAGGAAGGUCGACUUCAAACUAGCGAAGAACAAAAACCAAAACCUCGAAGUGUUUUUGAUAAAUCUCUACAUGUGUAUAAGUAGAUAUUCCUACAUCUAAAAUCUACCGAGUGAAGCACGAGAGAGAGAGGAGGGGGAAAGAGGAGAGGAUAAAACAAAACAAAAAAAAAACCGAUAAGAACUAUGGUGGGGGAAAUGGAAACGAAGGAGAAGCCGAGACCGACUCCCGAUUAUUUAAUGCAGCUGAUGAACGACAAGAAAUUAAUGUCGAGUCUGCCCAACUUUUGUGGGAUAUUCACGCAUUUGGAGCGGCUGCUGGAUGAAGAAAUAAGCAGAGUAAGAAAGGACAUGUAUACUGACACAAUGAAUGGCCUUGUGGACAAGCUGCCAAUGGACCUACCAGAACCCAUAGGACCUAUUAUGCAGUUACAAGAAAAAUUAUUUGUGCCUGUGAAAGAGUAUCCAGAUUUUAACUUCGUUGGUAGAAUCCUUGGCCCAAGAGGACUCACAGCAAAACAACUGGAAGCAGAGACUGGUUGCAAGAUCAUGGUUAGAGGGAAAAGUUCAAUGCGGGACAAAAAGAAGGCUUUCUUGUCUUCACAGGAAGAACAGAACCGAGGCAAACCAAACUGGGAACAUCUCAAUGAAGAGCUCCAUGUGUUAAUAACAGUUGAAGACACACAAGACCGAGCAGAAUUGAAGUUAAGAAGAGCUGUUGAAGAGGUUAAGAAGCUACUGGUUCCUGCUGCAGAGGGAGAAGACAAUUUGAAGAAGAUGCAACUGAUGGAGCUAGCUAUUCUUAAUGGAACAUACAGAGAUGCCAAUAUCAAAGCACCUACCCUUGCCUUUUCUCUUGCAGCAACGUCACAGGGUCCACGGCUGAUAACUGGACCGGCUGCACCCAUGCUUCCACCAGCUGCCUUGCGUGCCUCUACGCCAGCUGGUCCUGCCAUAAUGAAUAUAAUUAGGCCAAUUCAGACAACUGCAGUUAUGCCUAAUGGAACCCCUCAUCCAACUGCCUUAGUGCCAUCUUCUCCAGAAGCUGGUAUAAUCUAUACAACACCCUAUGAAUACCCAUAUGCUCUGGCACCAGCUGCAUCUCUACUGGAAUAUCCAAUGGAGCCAAGUGGGGUUCUAGGUAUGGCUUUUCCAACAAAAGGCUAAGAAUGCAUGGGACAUGUGUCUGAAUCCUCAGGAAAAAUAACUUCAGAAGAAGUGAAGAGUCUGACCAAGCACAUUGAAACACAAGCAGUAUAGCGAUGCUUAUUUUGGGUACAGGGUGUUCAGUAUUUGGCAGGCUUUACCAUAUCAUACAAUAUACCUUAAGACUUAAGGACACGUUCAGUGGUUUAAACUACCUAAAGCACUUUUUUGAGACAAAUGUACACUUGUAGCGAUUGUUGAAAAAUGGAUACACUGAAGACCUGAUUUGGAAGAAUGUGAUAUCACAUAUAUCCUAUCAAACUACUUGGACAAGCAAGGAGCUGAUAUGUACGGUGAUAAUCAAAAAGUACCAGAAUUAAAGGGGUUUCUUUCAGCUUUUCCACAAACUGUUAGAUUUCAAAAGUGAAAAAUAAUUUAAAUCUUUUUUUAAUUGUAGGUGCUUGCACCACUUUAAGAAUUACAUAUGAACCAGUAAAUUUACUGAAAACUGCUCCAAAUCAGCAUAUUGUUUAUCCUUUGAGCCUGUUAAAAUUCUACAUCAGAAUGGAAAAUUGCAAGAAAAGUGUCAGGCACUGGGUAAUAUAGUGGAUUAGAACAAUGUUUGUUCCUGUUUAUUGUCUGGGUUUAAAUCCAGUGCAAAUUAAAUAACACUGUCAUUGUUCUUUUAAUCCUCAAUGUCUGUGUACAUUUCUGUCCAGUUUUCCAGUAGUUAUAGGUCCAUAAUUUUUAAGUGCUGAUAAUUCAAGAAUAAAUGGACACAAUGUUCAUGAUUUACCAUAAAUUAGUUGAGGAAAUUCUGAAAUCUGUGGUGUUCUUUGACCCAUAUGAAUACGGCAUUAAUGUUUGGAAAGACUUGACCUUGCUGAUUGAAGGCCAGAUGAAGAUGAUUACUGGAAUCAUAGCUGGUCCCAAGCUUUCUUCGUCUACCAAACAUUGCUUCUUUUUCUGUAAUAGUUGGUUAGUGCUUUGGUCUCAGUAAAAACAUUAAUCUGUAAGCAUUGGUAAAUUAACCCAUAACCUGCUAACUGAAGAGAAAUUAUAAUUUGCAAACAAAUGCUGUAGCUAAGGCUUUAUGGGUUUAUCAUUACGUUGUGGAACUUCUUGGUGCCUGUGAAUUGGAUCCAGAUUUGGUGAAGCUUUAAAGAAUGCUUUAAUUAAUGUCUCAAAGGAAAUUCUGCUGUAAAACCUGGAAAUGCUGAUCCUGACCUCCUUUCCUGUUGGUACUGCAAAACAUGUUCUGAAUUAGUCAAGUACAUUUCUUUUUUUAAUCUGUGAUAGAGCAAGAGGUAUUGGAAUCUGAUCUUCUAGCACACAUGCACACUAACCACUGAUCAACCUUUGUAACACACUGACACUUGCCAAACUGGCAUUCGUGAUCCAAAUCUGCAGUGUUUCAAUCUCUGCUUGGUGCAAGGCUCAUUUAUUUUUGUACUUUUUUUAAAUUUUUUUUUACUAACUGCUUAUCAAUGGAUGCUGAUGGGUUUUACUGUGGUUCCAGAUCUCUCUUCUGCACUAAGUUCCAUUUGUAAACUGAUGCCCACAAUUUUUCUUGAAUAUUUACUGGUGCUAACUUACUUAACCAUAUAGCACAACAGUAUAAUUAAGUAGAUAACUUGUGUGCUGCUGUUUACCUAACAACACAAAACUUGUUACAAGGUCCACAGAAAUCUUAAGGGUUUGAAAAGAGACACCACUCAUUCUAUAUUGUUGAAAUUGGGAAUGGACCCAUGUUUAAAAGAACUUUUGUAGGUUAUGGUGAAACCUGCCUUCUAAAUGCUAGUUAUAUGUAUAUGUAACAUGUAAAUCAGUCCUAGCACAGUAAGACAUGACUGAGUUUGCUUUAUGACUGCAUUGUUAAAUACAAAGCAGUUUUCUGGUCAAAAAAAAAUUGCCCUUCAGGAUUUGAAAGAAUUUUUCCUGACGCUAUUGAGAAAAAUUCUGUAAUUACUACUUUUGACUACAGGGUUCAUUUUAAUCAGUUUACAGUAAUCCUAUCGAUUUACGUCCAGUUUUAGGAUUUUGAAUUUCAAGAAAAAUUGGAUUUCAGGAAAGGAGAAGCUUAGAGCUUAAGUGCCAAUUGUUAGGAAAUUAUUGAUUCUAGAAAUGGGAGGUAUUAUCACACUCUUAAUAAAUUACAAUUAAAAGUGAAUGCAAUCUUGUAGGUUUUUGUCAGUUUUUACACGCUGGGAUAAUCCAAGCAGCUAACAUUGACCAUGAGGCUGCAUUUGAGUAUUUAGAUAAAAAAAUGAUGCAAUUAAUACUCAGGCCGCCAUUUAGAUUGUCUGUAUGCCGAUAUUAAGCAAUUUCCAUCCCAAAAUGUUCAGAUAUACUACUUUGGCCAAGUUGUUCUCACUGAAUGAGUGUAAAUGCUCGCCUGACCUUUAGCUCUUAACUGCAGUAUCUGAAAGAGACUCUUUAACAGCCCCAGUGCAUAAUACUAAGAGAUAAGCAGUUAGUAAAGCAAUAUUAUCUGGCAAGACUACCUAAAUUUACUUUUGCAUAAUUUUAAGUCAUUGUAUGUUAUUGAAUUGUGUACUACACCAAUUUUGAGUUUUAUUCUAGAAAAAAUAUUCUAACUCUCUUUUGGACUUGUUACAAUUUAACUAGGUGCGAUGGCAACUAAAGUUCGGAGGCAUGAUUCGCGUGUCCAUCCUUACCAAAGGGUUGUGACCGCAGACAGAGCUGCCACAGGCAACUAACCCAUGACCUUUGACCUCUGAACUCUUCACCCAAUGAUGACCUGACCAUGCCUGCCUGCUGAUCAGUUAACUGGUUAUCGCCUAUGCUUGCCUGUCUUCAAUGCAGCGAGCUGAGGCACUGUCUGUUCGUCUCGUUACCUAACUGCGUUUAUAUAUUAAAAUUAAAGCUCCAGCCACAGCUUUUCUGGUUGGGUGAAUGUGUGGUACCAGAACCUGCACUGAAUAAUACUAAAGCAAUAAGUCCAGUUCAUCCCUCAGCACUGUUUCUCAGUGAUCAUCUCUUAAAGAUUCUCCCUAAAGAAUGGUAAGAAAGGUCUCUUAACAGCACUGGCAGGGGAUUGAGCGCUGUACAGGCAGUUGCCACGGACAAAUGUGAUGGACAUCUGAUGUAAUUUGUUGUAGUUACAAAGUCUUUGAACGCAUUUGUGAUUCAUUAUGGAUGGACCUUGAGUCAGGUAUAUUGGGAGAGAGUUCGAUACUGACAGUACAAAAUAUUGACCUCUACAAUUAAGGACAAAGAUUUAAAAUAUCUCGUGUACAGAACCUUCGUUUUUUGCCAAACACUUUUUUCUAAGGCCACUUCUGACAAUUUUUUGAAUCUCACCAGAAUUAAGAUGCUGUUUAGUCUUGUAGGCAGCUAAACAAAGUUUCUAGGUUAUUGAUGCUGUUGAGAAAAGCAUAAUGAAUAAGAUUAUCAAUGAAUUCAACUCCUUGGAUCAAUCAAUUUUUUUUAAAGGGAUAGUUUCUCCUGUUCAGAUUUGUUUUACUUCGUAGCCUUACAACCUCUGUCUUUUGCCCAAUUGGUAAUAUAAUCUGGUGUGAAGUACUCCACUGUGAUGUUCUGCUUGAUCAGUAAAGUUCCUGUUAAACCGUACCCUGUUUUCCCCCAAGAGCAUUCAUGUUCAAAAUUGUUCUACAUUUAAAUUUGACUGUCUAAACCCAGACGUCUACUGCCAGUGCCACCAGCCCACAGGGACAAUCCAUAGUGUCAAAAAGUUUCAAAAAUAGCAGCUGGGGGUCUGAGUACUUCUUUCAUUGUUCAAGCGCCUAACAUCUGCAAUUACUAUUGUGCAUGUUAGAUGAAAGCUGCCUGACACAGUUUUCCCCAACUUAUUUACUGUCCUUGUUUAGUUUGAGCUUCCUGAGUUUAUCCAAUGUAUUCGUCUUGUAUUUUGAGCUCAGCUUGAUUUUCAGUGCAGCCAAUAACAUUCUUAAUGUUCACAUAUACCUUGACACCAAGGUGCAUUCAUAAUGUGUCAUUUUUCUGGAUGCAAAAAAACUGUUUCUAAUUCUCUCCAUAAAUAGACACUUCUUUAAGAAGGAUGUGAAAGCCAUGCUUGCCUAUUCUAUUUGCUAUAUACAUGUUAUUAAAGUGUAGAUAAGUACAGUGCAUUUAAACCACAGAGGAAAACUAGAUACUUUUACAGGGUGCUGGUGAAGAAAUAUAUAUUUUUGACAAUUUAGCUUUUUAUACUUACUUGCAGUAACAAAAUACAAAAAAUUUUUAAAAAAAAGUAAUGGAAGUGAUACUGGAUGGUUGUAAACGAAACUGAAGACCAAAACAGUGUAUCUAGUGUUUUGCAGGGUUGUGGAUGAGAAGAGAGGAGCAUAAAGAAAGCAAAAUAGUGCCUUAUAUCUGCCUGGUCAAUUUGUAAGUGUCUAACAUAUUGUUUGACCUAAGUAUGAUGCAUGCCAGUCCAUCAUUGGAGAGGAGGGAAGCAGUCUUUAUUGGCAAAAAAAAAAUCAAAACAUGAUAGAACAGUAUGAGGACAGUUGUGUGAAGCUACUCAAGUUUAGGCCUGUCUGAAGAAUUUAGUUCAUUGAUUCUAUGCAACAAGUGUGAAAUAGUUUCUCAACUAGUUUGUAAUUUGUGCCAUUUGUCUUCCUAAGUUUAUACCUUCAAUUUUUCUGUGCCAUUUUUUUCAUAGAGUCGUAGCCUUUUUUUGAGUAAACAUUUAAGCAAAUGUUUUCUAUUAGCCACUUACAAAAUGAAGGCCACCUUGGCUUAGUUUUGCCUAAUUAAUUAAAAAGCCAACAAACCAGCUAUUAUCAUUAAACUAAAAUGCUGCAGUGUUUGACUUCAGAACAAAACACAUAAGAACAAAUUUGCAACCAUCUCCAAUGUGUUUGUUACUUGCUGCCCUUCAAUGUUUUAAUUUUUGUCAGCUUUCAUUGAGUUUAUAUAACUAAUGUAAACUCUGUUUAGUCAGUGUUAUUUUUUUUGUAACCAAAACAUUGAAAGUUUUCUUAACAGUAUUAUGUAUUCCCUCAGUUACAUUAUGGAGAAUAGUUCAAAGACACUGCUGUUACGUGAUGGUUGGUUGAAUGCAAAGCAAUUACAUAUGCUGUGUACAAUAUUCAAUAUAUUGCCUACACACAUGUAUAGUAUUGUAAUUACCACCAUUGUUACAAGUUUAUAAUGUAUUUUUCUAUCUUCAUUUUGUAUGUAUAUUAUAUACCAUAUACAACUUUUUGUUCCCAAUUUGAGGCCCCUGUGGUUUUGAUAGCCAGAAACUAUUGCAGAUUCAUUGUAAUCAUCUAUCAUUGGGAGUGUUGCCUUUUCUGACUUGUUAACUCAUUAUCCAAUUAAUAAGUUUCUUGUUACAAAUGUUUUUACAUGCUUGCAUUUUAUUUCAUGGUGUUUGCUGUUUCUAUUAACCCUGGCAUUUAUUUUAAUAAACGUUACAGUACAAAUCUACUAACUGCUGAAUAGUUUGUUUUUAACACUUGAUAAACAGUCUGGUUCACUGGACUAACCUUUUUUGAAGAGCAUACAUUGCUCUUGAGUACACACAUGCACAAAAAAUAACACUCGCUGAAAGUUGCUCCAAGUUAUGUGCUACGUCGUCUUGUGACUUACUUGCACUGCACAAUAAAGUAAACAGCGGCAUUCAGAAUUGAGUGGAGCCUGGAGGGUGAUGUGUACAUUGUCCCUUCAAGGUCGGGAACAAAGUAACAUUUCUUUUGAGAUAUCUGUCCAGUCUUGUCUAUUGCCUACCAGCUAAGCACCUUCUGUGUGUACUAAUGUUGGACCUGGCCUCUCUACUUUCUUUCUUCCUUUCAACUAAUGCAGGAGGUAUUUGUUCAUAGAGGCACACAAGCAAUGAUUGGGGGUAAAUAAAUCAAAGUUGUCUUUUGGUGGGUGGGAGUGGAAGGGUAUAAAGUAGGAGUUUGAGGCAGUCACUUAGUAAACUAGUCCUUUGACUACUGAGUCUGAUAUGUAAUAUGCUGUAAAAUGGCCUGCUUUCCAGUGUUUUUAUAUUAUGUAAAUUGAGAGGGAAAGAAUAAGCACUGAAGAUCUAAUGCAGUACAUUAACAUUUGGGGAAUCUCAAUGCAGUCAGCCUAUGCCUGCAAAUUCACUUUAAGAUAAGAAUAUGCAUAAAAAAUAUUGUUUGAAUCUGUAUAUAUAAGUAGUAUUUAUAGUCCAAGUUGAAAUUCACUUGUAUGUAACUUCUACCAAAAGGAGCUCUCUUGUACGCGUGCAAUAAAAUGACUGUUAAAACUGGAA